rnacentral:rRNA from 1 species
UACAGAGGGGGCAAGCGUUGUUCGGAAUUACUGGGCGUAAAGCGUACGUAGGCGGCUUUGUAAGUUAGAGGUGAAAGCCCGGGGCUCAACCCCGGAAUUGCCUUUAAGACUGCAUCGCUUGAAUCAUGGAGAGGUGAGUGGAAUUCCGAGUGUAGAGGUGAAAUUCGUAGAUAUUCGGAAGAACACCAGUGGCGAAGGCGACUCACUGGACAUGUAUUGACGCUGAGGUACGAAAGCGUGGGGAGCAAACAGG